GAAACCCCAUAUACCAUGGCCUUAAUCAUCAUUUCUGUAUAAGUCCUCAGUAGUUUAUCUCAGCAGUCAGCUCCGGCCUACGCAUCCUCUACGUAGGGGACCGAUGCAAAUAAGUGAAUGAUCACCCCAUAUACCAUGGCCUUAAUCAUCAUUUCUGUAUAAGUCCUCAGUAGUUUAUCUCAGCAGUCAGCUCCGGCCUACGCAUCCUCUACGUAGGGGACCGAUGCAAAUAAGUGAAUGAUCCAGCAAAAC
rnacentral:lncRNA from 1 species